rnacentral:rRNA from 1 species
GACGAACGCUGGCGGCGUGCCUAAUACAUGCAAGUAGAACGCUGAAGGAGGAGCUUGCUUCUCUGGAUGAGUUGCGAACGGGUGAGUAACGCGUAGGUAACCUGCCUGGUAGCGGGGGAUAACUAUUGGAAACGAUAGCUAAUACCGCAUAAUAGUAGAUGUUGCAUGACAUUUACUUAAAAGGUGCAAUUGCAUCACUACCAGAUGGACCUGCGUUGUAUUAGCUAGUUGGUGGGGUAACGGCUCACCAAGGCGACGAUACAUAGCCGACCUGAGAGGGUGAUCGGCCACACUGGGACUGAGACACGGCACAGACUCCUACGGGAGGCAGCAGUAGGGAAUCUUCGGCAAUGGACGAAAGUCUGACCGAGCAACGCCGCGUGAGUGAAGAAGGUUUUCGGAUCGUAAAGCUCUGUUGUAAGAGAAGAACGAGUGUGAGAGUGGAAAGUUCACACUGUGACGGUAUCUGACCAGAAAGGGACGGCUAACUACGUG